UCGGCCGGGUUUAAGUUUGAUUCUGGCUUGAUUACUUAUUAAUAACUAAAUAGAACACAUGUAAAUUUUUUUGUUCCUGUAAAUAAUAGGUGUUAAUAUUUUAUUGUCUUAAUGAUGCUAAUAGUUAACUUUCUUACUCAUAUUAGGUGAUUUUAGAUGUGGUUUUAUUUACGUCUACAGUGGCUAAUGCUGUAAAAUUAAGGACACUUAGAUUCGGUUUGGUUAUAUUGGACCGGUAAAAAUGGUGCCAGCGACCGCGGUUAGACAUGGGGUUCUUGUGAGUUAUAUUGAUUUUAUGGUAAGUGGAUGUUAGUUGUGGUUUUAUAGAAUAUUUAUAAAGGUAUAAUUUACUCAAUAAUAAUUUUUCCUCUUAAACCUUUUUAUUUUUCCAUGAAGGCUUAGAUUAAAACUAGGAUUUGAUACCCACUUAUUCUAGGCAGUAAAUUAUUAAAAUUAGGGUAGUAUGGGCACAUGCUUUAAACCCAAAGAAAUUGGCGGUGUUCUAACGUCUCAGAGGAACCUGUUCUUUAAUUCGAUGGUCCACGUUACUUUUACUUUUCUUUGAAAUUUCAGCCUGUGUAUUGCCGUUUAGUUUACUUUUCAAGAAGUGUGGAGUUUGGCUUAAAAUUUAUUUAACAUUUUUAUACCAGGUCUAAAUACAGCUUAUAGAAAAGGAGAAAUGGGUUACUAUUAAUUGUCGGAUUUAAAAUUCUUAAGAUUUUAUUGAAGUCGGAUUUGAAAGUAAGUUUGAAAAUUAAAAUUCUUACUGAAUUUAGUUAUCUAGAAUGAGUACAAAUCGCCCGUCGUCCCCGUUGAAAGAUGGGGUAAGUCGUAACAUAGUGGGUGUAACGGAAGUUGUACCUAAUAAAAAAGAAAAAAGUACC
rnacentral:ncRNA from 1 species